CCCGUGGACGCCGACUUGACCCGACGAAGGUCCACCUCUCCCUUGCCCUUCCUCACCUGCGUACCUCCAGCAUCAUCCCUCAAGGAAGAGGAAGGAUGUCGAAUGAAUCGCGUCUGCCAACUUCAUCGUACUUCUUACUAUCUAAUGGUUCGACAAGAGAGACUUAUGUCAUGUUUGUCAACAAACUGAAGGAGCUAUUUCAUCUCGUGGCCUAGGAAGGAUCUUACGGUCUACUUUUAUGCUGUAUCAACGGAUACUACGCAGGACGUCUGUGCAUCUUCGCUAUAAGCAGCAACUUGGUUACGCGACUGCGACACUAAUGCAGCUGCGUGAUUUGCUGGAUGCCUACAGCCAACCUAGUUGAAUCCUAGCCGGGAUCUUCGUGAUCGAGUCGUGAAUGAAAGUCUAGUCUGACUCUCAUACGGGAUGGACUAAGGUUCACCUGUCAAUGACAUAAGGGGGACCAAACCAAACAAUUAGGCGACCAAAUCAAAAAUUGAGGUGGAAACCUUACUCGCUUUAGUAAUAGGUAUAGAUGAUGUAUGAAUGGAUAAGCAUGCUUAUCUAGUUUAUGGUGUGUUCCGGAGGUUCCUAAAAAGUAGAACUUGUGAAAUUGUAGGUACAAAUUUCAAAUUGUGUUCUGGCUCUAUAUAUCA